rnacentral:rRNA from 1 species
GAUGAACGCUGGCGGCGUGCCUAACACAUGCAAGUCGAACGAAGCACCUUGCCUGAUUCUUCGGAUGAAGGUCUGGUGACUGAGUGGCGGACGGGUGAGUAACGCGUGGGUAACCUGCCCUGUACAGGGGGAUAACAGUUGGAAACGGCUGCUGAUACCGCAUAAGCGCACGAGAGGACAUCCUCUUGUGUGAAAAACUCCGGUGGUACAGGAUGGGCCCGCGUCUGAUUAGCUGGUUGGCAGGGUAACGGCCUACCAAGGCGACGAUCAGUAGCCGGUCUGAGAGGAUGAACGGCCACAUUGGAACUGAGACACGGUCCAAACUCCUACGGGAGGCAGCAGUGGGGAAUAUUGCACAAUGGGGGAAACCCUGAUGCAGCAACGCCGCGUGAGUGAAGAAGUAUUUCGGUAUGUAAAGCUCUAUCAGCAGGGAAGAUAAUGACGGUACCUGACUAAGAAGCUCCGGCUAAAUACGUGCCAGCCGCCGCCGUAA